rnacentral:rRNA from 1 species
GAUGAACGCUGGCGGCGUGCCUAAUACAUGCAAGUCGAGCGAACGGACGAGAAGCUUGCUUCUCUGAUGUUAGCGGCGGACGGGUGAGUAACACGUGGAUAACCUACCUAUAAGACUGGGAUAACUUCGGGAAACCGGAGCUAAUACCGGAUAAUAUUUUGAACCGCAUGGUUCAAAAGUGAAAGACGGUCUUGCUGUCACUUAUAGAUGGAUCCGCGCUGCAUUAGCUAGUUGGUAAGGUAACGGCUUACCAAGGCAACGAUGCAUAGCCGACCUGAGAGGGUGAUCGACCACACUGGAACUGAGACACGGUCCAGACUCCUACGGGAGGCAGCAGUAGGGAAUCUUCCGCAAAGGGCGAAAGCCUGACGGAGCAACGCCGCGUGAGUGAUGAAGGUCUUCGGAUCGUAAAACUCUGUUAUUAGGGAAGAACAUAUGUGUAAGUAACUGUGCACAUCUUGACGGUACCUAAUCAGAAAGCCACGGCUAACUACGUG